UACGGAGGGGGCUAGCGUUGUUCGGAAUUACUGGGCGUAAAGCGCACGUAGGCGGCUUUGUAAGUUAGAGGUGAAAGCCCAGGGCUUAACCCUGGAAUUGCCUUUAAGGCUGCAUCGCUAGAAUCGUGGAGAGGUGAGUGGAAUUCCGAGUGUAGAGGUGAAAUUCGUAGAUAUUCGGAAGAACACCAGUGGCGAAGGCGACUCACUGGACACGUAUUGACGCUGAGGUGCGAAAGCGUGGGGAGCAAACAGG
rnacentral:rRNA from 1 species